ACAAACACUUGAUUAGUAGAGUUAAUGUUUGAACUGGAGUCUGAUAUUAUCAUGGAUUGCUUAUCUCUGUGGUUAAAGUUUUGAAUAUGCUUCAUAUAUCGUACAAAUCAACAUUUGGCUGAUUUUUUUUCGAAGCUUGGCAGAGAGUCUCGCGCGAAUAUGAAUCUCAUAUUGUUCUUGUUAUUGAUCACGUUUACUUACGCCAACCACCCAUGGCCCUGGGACUGGAAGACAUUCUGCCCACAGAGAUCCAAAUGUAAAUGUCUGAUUACUCUGAACGAGAUAAAACUUAGACUAGACACGGUAUCGAAUUUACCAUCCCGAGUGAACGAUACUUUCGCCCUUUGCUCAUCUCAGACCGACUCUCAGACGCAAUUUCGUCGCGUACUCGAUGAAAUAUGGCAAUUUUACGGGUUCAGUAAUCGUUGCCAGGUGGUUAGUAAAUUACCCUGCGAUGCUGUUCAAUACCUCAACGAGACUUUUAUCAAACGUGAUCGAGACACGUUGCUUGUGCUGAACGAGAAGAGUUCACUCGUGUGUAAAGACUACUUAAAUCGAGUCCACUCAUCUAUACCCAGUGUGACUGACUUUCAAUUCAACGACUAACCUAAAAUAGACUCGCGUAAUUAUACUUAAUUAGGCACUGACUAUAUCUGAGGAACAACCAUUAGGAAAAUUUUAUUGUUUAUGACACGUUCCGACGUUUUUAUCUCGCGUAGCCUAUACUUUAUACGAGAUGAACAAGAUUUAAGCUUAAUAAAAUAUUUGACACUUUA